rnacentral:misc_RNA from 1 species
UCACCCCUCAAGCCCUGUGCUUGGUGUUGGACGGCCGGUCGAGCGAUCGACCCCUCCUAAAGACAAUGACGGCGGCCUGUGGUUCCCCCGGUACACUGAGCUUCUCACCGAGCAUGUAUCGGACAAGGGCACCCGGGACCCGGUCCUCUCCUUUCAUAUAAGGAAACUUUCUAU